rnacentral:rRNA from 1 species
UACGUAGGGUGCGAGCGUUGUUCGGAUUCACUGGGCGUAAAGGGUGCGUAGGUGGUGAAGUAAGUCGGAUGUGAAAUCUCGGAGCUUAACUCCGAAACUGCAUUGGAAACUACUUUGCUCGAGGGUUGGAGGGGGGACUGGAAUUCUCGGUGUAGCAGUGAAAUGCGUAGAUAUCGAGAGGAACACCAGUGGCGAAGGCGAGUCCCUGGACAACUCCUGACACUGAGGCACGAAAGCUAGGGGAGCAAACAGG